AAAGAUCUAAGUAAUUAUUAAAAUUUUAGUUUCAAAAAAAUUUUUUAUUGUUAUUUAGUUGUAAAAUUCUAAUCGCUUUUAUUUAUAUCUAGUAACUUUAGAAAUAAAUUUAGUUUAGGAUAAUAAGGAAAGUUUUAUUUGAAAUUUUUUUCUAGUUUAUUCUUAAAUUUUUGGGGAUGAGCUCAAAAAUUAUUAUAUAAGAAUUAAUUUGUAUUUUUUUUUCAUAGGCUUAGAAUUAGCCAAUUGAUAGUGUUAUAAAAUAUAAAGACAAGUUUUUGAUUUUAUUUUCUUUUUAUAUUAUAAAGUUAAUUUUAAAAUUUAAGAUUAUUUGAAAAUAUGAUAACAUUAGUAGAUAAUUAAAUAAAGGAUAUUAUUUAAAUUUUCCUUUUAAAUUUUAAUUAAUUAUUAUAACAAAAGAACUCGGCAAAAAAAAUUUCCGAAUGUUUAACAAAAACAUUUCCUCUUAGUUUGGGAGGUAAGGCCUGCUCACUGAGGUUUUAAAGAGCCGCAGUAUCCUAACUGUGCUAAGGUAGCAUAAUCAUUAGUCUUUUAAUUGGGGACUGGUAUGAAUGGCUUAACGAGAAAUUAACUUUUUUUGUUAUAAAUAUUGAACUUAAUUUUUUAGUGAAAAAGCUAAAAUAAUUCAGAAAGACGAGAAGACCCUAUAGAGUUUUAUGCUUUUAUAUAUUUAUUUACAUUAGAUUUUUAAUAAUUAAGUGUAAAAAAGUAUUUUGUUGGGGCGACAUUUAGAUAAAUAAAACUCUUUAUUUUUAAAAUUUUUAUGAAAAUAAAAAUUGAUCCUUUAAAAAAGAUCAAAAGAAAAAAUUACCUUAGGGAUAACAGCGUAAUCUUUUUUUAGAGUUCUAAUCGACAAAAAGGUUUGCGACCU
rnacentral:rRNA from 1 species